UGGGGAAUAUUGGACAAUGGGCGAAAGCCUGAUCCAGCAAUGCCGCGUGAGUGAUGAAGGCCUUAGGGUUGUAAAGCUCUUUUACCCGGGAUGAUAAUGACAGUACCGGGAGAAUAAGCCCCGGCUAACUACGUGCCAGCAGCCGCGGUAAUACGUAGGGACCAAGCGUUGUUCGGAUUUACUGGGCGUAAAGGGCGCGUAGGCGGCAAUUCAAGUCAUCUGUGAAAUCUCCGAGCUUAACUCGGAACGGUCAGAUGAUACUGUUUUGCUAGAGUACAGAAGGGGCAAUCGGAAUUCUUGGUGUAGCGGUGAAAUGCGUAGAUAUCAAGAGGAACACCUGAGGUGAAGACGGGUUGCUGGGCUGAUACUGACGCUGAGGCGCGAAAGCUAGGGUAGCAAAC
rnacentral:rRNA from 1 species